rnacentral:rRNA from 1 species
CCUACGGGCGGCAGCAGUGGGGAAUAUUGGACAAUGGGGGGAACCCUGAUCCAGCCAUGCCGCGUGUGUGAAGAAGGCCCUCGGGUUGUAAAGCACUUUCAGUGAGGAAGAACGCCUGGUGGUUAAUACCCAUCAGGAAAGACAUCACUCACAGAAGAAGCACCGGCUAACUCCGUGCCAGCAGCCGCGGUAAUACGGAGGGUGCGAGCGUUAAUCGGAAUUACUGGGCGUAAAGCGCGCGUAGGUGGCUUGAUAAGCCGGUUGUGAAAGCCCCGGGCUCAACCUGGGAACGGCAUCCGGAACUGUCAAGCUAGAGUGCAGGAGAGGAAGGUAGAAUUCCCGGUGUAGCGGUGAAAUGCGUAGAGAUCGGGAGGAAUACCAGUGGCGAAGGCGGCCUUCUGGACUGACACUGACACUGAGGUGCGAAAGCGUGGGAAGCAAACAGGAUUAGAUACCCUUGUAGUC